rnacentral:rRNA from 1 species
GUGCCAGCAGCCGCGGUAAUACGUAGGGGGCCAGCGUUGUCCGGAAUCAUUGGGCGUAAAGCGCGCGUAGGCGGUCAGGUAAGUCCGGUGUGAAAGUCAAAGGCUCAACCUUUGAAUGCCGCUGGAAACUGCCUGACUUGAGUCCGGUAGGGGCGAGUGGAAUUCCUGGUGUAGCGGUGAAAUGCGCAGAUAUCAGGAGGAACACCAAUGGCGAAGGCAGCUCGCUGGAACGGUACUGACGCUGAGGCGCGAAAGCGUGGGGAGCGAACAGGAUUAGAUACCCUGGUAGUCC